GCCCAGGGCCCUCCCACACACCAGAUUCCAGCCUAGCAGGUUAUUUCCACUCCUCUGAGCACCCCAAGUGCAUUCUGAGUCUAUACUGCUUGAUUAAAUAAAACAGAAUGAGCUAAAGGAGAGACGAAGCUAUAUUAUCCUUUGGACCUCCCAAGCCGUGCUGCUGUGGAUUCUGCUCUGAACAAGCAUAGGCAGUCUGAUUUUUCCAAGCUGCAAGGCUCAGAUGGACCUGUUCGCAUGACCUGGCUGGCCUUCCUUAGUCUCCAUCACGUGUCCCACCCACUCAGGUGACCACAGCUUCAGUCAGCAGCGAGGGACCCAUGGGUCAUGAAAAUGAACUCCCAGGCUUGCUCAGACACCAACAGAAGCUGGCACAAAGCCCACCCUAAAGGAGGAGUGCCUCUCAAAGAAGAGACUGGGUCAGAGGCUACCCAGUGAGAUAGGGUAGAGCCUUCUUUUGGCAGGAGGAGAGAAGCUGCAGAAAUUUCAAGGCCCCAAAUACAAUCAGCUCAGGUGUCUUUUCUGGACUUACCCUGUCCAGGGGGCUGUCCUUUGUAACAGAACAUUUCUCCAUCAUUCAAGUUUUUGUUUUUUACAUUUUAUUUGUGGAACUAGGGCAUACAAGUGAUAGUAAGAAGACACCUUGUGAGUCAGCUUUCUCCUUCCACCACAUGGGUACUGGGGAUCAAAUGCACAUCAUCAGGCUUGGUGGCAAGCGCCUUUAUCUGCUGAGCUACCUUUUCCCCCUUAACAUUAUUUUACUUUAUGUGUAUGAAUGUUUUGCCUGCAUGCACAUAUAUGCACCAUGUGUGUGCCUAUUGGAUGCCCUAGGACUGGGGUUACAGAUAGUUGUGAGGCACCCUGUGGGUGCUGGCAAUUGAACCCGGGUCCUCUGCAAGCAUAAUAAAUGCUCUUAACUGUUGAGCCAUCUCUCUAGGUCCCAUGAGGAGGCACUUUGCCAGCCCCUACUUUUUUAGAUUUCUGAAGGCUUCUCCCAUGUCCCAAGACUGCCUUUUUUUACAAAAGGCCCAUGAGCCAGGGAGCUGGAGUUUCCCUUCGGGACACCUUCUUUCAUGUUUUGUCCUCUCUCUAGAAUGAGGUCUCCACAGGAGUCAGUCUGUGUCCUGUCCAGCAUUCAGAGGCAAGAGCACUUCCUCCACCCCCCUAUAAGCCAAACCCUCAAGGCCAAAUCCAGCUAAUGCCCCAGGACCUCUCAUUCUAUAGGUCAAGGAACCUUCUUCCCUGGACACAAGCUAAAGGCUACAAGUGUAAGGCACAUAGUUGGCCUUCUAACCCAUAAGUUUUGUAUUUGAGGAUCCAACCAGUCAUGGAUCAGAAACAUUCAGAAUGGGCCAGAUGGUUCAGUGGGUAAAGGCCUUUGCCACCAUGCCUGACAACCUGAAUUCAAUCCCCAGAGCCCACAGGGUAAAAAUAAAUGAAAUUUCUAGAAAGUUCCAAAAAAGCAAAAUUUGCCGUAUUGUGAAUAUUAAGCUGAACUCACUCAAGUGUACUGGAACAGGGUAAACUCUGCUGUAGCCUCCCACCUCUUUCAGAGCCUGUUGCUUCAGCCCUCAUUCUUUCAGCAUUGUUCACCUGAUGUCUCAUGAUGUCUAUUGUUAGGCCUAUGAUGGGUGCCUCUACACCAAACAUGUACAGACUUUUUUCUUAUAAUUACUCCCUAAAUAUAAGUGGCCUCACGGUAUUUACAUAGCACUCCCAUAGUAUUUGAAGUUGUAAGUUAUGCAGAGAUUAAAGUGAACAGGAGGUAAGGAUUCUAUUGAAAUAUAUCAUUUUAUUGAAGGGAUGUAAGCAUCUAUCCGAGUGUCCUUCUGGAGUCCUGAAUCAAUCCCUCCAUGGGAACUGAGAUGUUCAUAAAAUAUAAAGGCAGAAAAAAGACCCUAACCACGGGGAAGGGACCCUAAUCACAGGGAAGGGAACACCCUCAUCACAGGAUAAAGGGACCUUAACCACAGGAAGGGAACCCUGUGGAGAGCUGGGUUUUCCAACAGAGUACAAGCUCCUGGCUUCCUCUUCAUUCUGCUGUUGUAGAUCUAUACAGGCUGCCGUGAAGUUGAAGCACACAGAAGCAAAGAAACUAAGUACCCAGACAAGGUCCCUGUUCUCCUUUGGGGUCCCCAAACCCAGAGUCACAUGCUUGAAUCUGCCCCAUAGUCCAUUCUGCAUGAGCAUUAUGGAGCUGUUAGGUGUGAGCCACGGGUCUCUGUUCCAGCCCCACUCAGACCCCCACGCAGCAGGAGUAAAUCUCAAGCCCCAAAUGGAGAAUGACUCUUAAUAUGAUGAGAAGGCAUGGCAGUGACCCAGCUCUUACUGCUGUGUUAAGCCAGAACUGGCCUGCUGCCAAGAAAAACGGUGGAGUCAGUAGUUUGGGUUUUUUGGCAUCUCCACCCUCUUUCUGCUUCUCUUCACUUCCUGCCACACCCCUUCCAGAAUUCCAGGUCCCUUCACCACAUCAAGAUUUGCUGAAUGAGAAUGAGCCAUUUAACUGAAAUAGAAGUCCUGGCUGGGUGUGGCCAUUCACACCUGUGAUCCCAGCAGCAGGGAGGCUGAGGCAGGAGAAUCAAAAGGCUGGGCUGGGCUAUACAAGAAUGCCUCAAAACCAAAGGUAGGGAUGCCUGUAGUGCAUCUUCUCAGUUAGUGAUUGAUGGAGGACCACCCAGGCAAUUGUGGGUGGAUAUACUGUGGCUGAGCACUUCCUAGCAAUGAUGUCCUGGGCUCAACCCCUAGCACUCAAAACCAGUAAAGAAAAGCCCCCCUGGUGCUGGCAGGCAUUUCUUUAGUUGAGGUUCCCUCCUCUCGGAUGACUUUAUCUUAUGUCAAGUUGACAUGAAACUAUCAAGAACAUACACAAUGUAUUUUGAUAAUAUUCAUCAUACAUUCCUCCAAGAUCAAGCCAGGAGUGCCGCUUUUAAAUAUCAAACUGUGCUCCUGAACAUUCAUCCAUUUACUUUUUUCCUUUUCAGGAAGACAUAUGCAUUCUAGUUUAGCCUUGAACAAGAAUAACCUUGAACUUAUCCUCCUGCCUUCACCUUCCGAAUGCUGGGGUUACAGGUAGAUGCCACUAUGCCUGGUUUAUCCAGUGCUGGAGAGCAAAGCCAGAGCUUCCUACAUGCUAAGUGAAAUCGCCAACUGAGCUACAUUCCUAGCUCACUUAAUUAUGUAAGUGACUCUACAGGGGGAGAUUGCUAGAAGUCAGAGAAGUCAACAUGAACAGUGUUCUCAAGUGUCAUGUUUUCAACUUUCCCUGGCAUCACUUUGACCUUCACACUGUCCUCACUUCACAUGGAGGACUGAGUUCAAAAGGCCACACCUGCCCGAGUUCAUCCAGCUCACUACCUUAACCAUCACCUGGCCAAUCCCAUGGAGAACAGCUAUAACCAGUGCCAACGGAGGACAAAGGAAGGCCAGCUGGAUCCUCUGGAAUGGUUGUCAGCCACCAUGGGGGCCCUGGGAAGUGAACCUCGAUCCUCUAGAAGAGCAGCAUUCCUAAUCACUGAGCCAUCUCUCUAGCCGGUCUUCCCUAACUUUUGACAGAAAAUUCUAAGCAAACUGACAGAUGAACAAAGCACCUCAGAAGAAACAAAAAACAAUUGUCUUCCACAGUCUCUGCCCCAGUGCACUGCAGCCACUCUCCACUCGGCCUUCAUAACGGGUGAGAAAGGAAACUGAGGCCCAGGAAGAUAAAGUAAAGCAGCUGAGAGGCACACUACACUGUGAAUCGAGGACCCUUCAGGGGCUGUUUCUGUAAACACCUUAUUAAAAGUGCAUUAUUUCCACGUGGAAAACCACUUCUGUUGUGGUUUUUGAGAUAAGGUCUGACUUUGGCUGACCACCAACAUGCGACUGUCCUGCCUCUGCCCUCCAAAAGCUGAGACUGAGAUAUGCUCUACCACAUCUGACUUAACUCUUGAUUAGCUACGACUUCUGCAAAGUAUAUACUGAGGCACAAGUUUGUCAGGGGUUCCAAGUAGGGACUAAUUUAGAAAGCAAGCACCAAAUGUGCCAUUAUUGGAUCGCUCUUUAGGGGAGAGUAGAGAGAGGAACUUGGUUACUUCAGUUCUCCCACUUAGGGCAUCUGCUGCCUAUCAGGCUGGUUAAACACCAGAACUCAAGAACAUGGCUCCCUCUAGUGGAGCAAGAUGACUGUGAGGACUAUAAACAGCAAACUCAAGGCAAAACAGCCUAAUGAUUCAGGGUUUGUUCUGCAUUAAACAGGGUGACCACAAUCCAAGAAUGGAGUCAUAGGAGAUUUUGAGUACUCCCAAGAAAACAUCAAGAGAAAAAAAAAAAAAAAAAGGUCUUAGGACUUCAAAAACACAGAACUGUUCUUGGAAUGUGUUUUGUGCUCCUCCCAGGUGUAGUGGAUUAUUUCAGAUUAUUCAUUACAACUGGCUACUUUUACUUGUUUACAUGUCUCUAUGGAAAAACAUGUUUUUGCCUCAUGCAGCUUGCUACACGCACACACGCUUGCCAUCAUGACUGUACUCAUGUGACUCCUCCUAGCCCCCAGAGUAUGAAGAUGGCUUUUAUUGCAUGAAA